UUUUACAAUGAAGAGUUUGAUCCUGGCUCAGGAUGAACGCUAGCUACAGGCUUAACACAUGCAAGUCGAGGGGCAGCGGGAUUGAAGCUUGCUUCAAUUGCCGGCGACCGGCGCACGGGUGAGUAACGCGUAUCCAACCUUCC
rnacentral:rRNA from 1 species